CGAGUGAGUUACGUGAUUGAACAAACUGUGAUUCUACGGUUUACAGUUGGGCUGGAUAUCUUAUUUGGGCUGAUAACAAAAACAAAAAAGUUAGCCCCAUUAAGAAACAAUAACCUUUUGAAUUCUAAAGGUUCGUCGUGUUCUUUGUUCUCUGAUCUGUUAGACCCAUGAUUCAUUGAUUCAACGCCAUUGAAGACCUUCUCAACUCCUUAGCCCCACUCCAACUAUUAUUACUCAUUCAAUGCAUUUUGCCUCUCUUCAAGUCGGUGGAACUCCAGCUAUAAAAAGUCCAAAGCUUGCGUUUCAGCUUGCAUUGCUCGCCUUAACAGCUCAAACAAGCGAACCCCUUGAUGUGAUCGCUUCAAGAUUGUAUUUUUAAUAUUCAGUGAGUUAUGAGAUGACUGGUGAUCUUGCUGAGAUUUUUGGUACUCAAUCUGCCCUUUCACCAUUCUGCAACACUUCGUCAUGAUGAGUUGGGUCAAGAAACACUUCUGACUUGAUUGCUUCGCAACUACCUGUACUACAACAACCUUUAUGACCACGAAGAGAAGUUGAGAUCAAAAGAAACAAGAUUUGAGAUGAAGGGAAGCCAAAAGUGAGAAGAGUAUCUGUUGUGUUUUCAGUUUCACCCGAAGAAAAAUGUAAUAUGAGGAAUCUUCUUCUCCUGCAAAAAAGCUUAAAAAAGAAGAAAAAUAGUCCAGUCUCCAACACGAGAUCGUGUUUUAAAUUUGCAGUCAUGGCCUGUGAUUUAUAUGUUUUAGAUGUAAAAAUUUCUGUGCUAGUUUGUUUUAAAAGUUUUGUCAUUUAGUUUGGGUUUUGGACAUAGCACUUUGUUUUUUUGGUCAAUUUUGACUAAAUACUCUCUAUUUAAUGAUUCGGAAUAAAAUAAAAUGGUUCAGUUUGA